rnacentral:lncRNA from 1 species
UAAGUGAGACAACUCAGGAGGGAAUCAGGCUGGAAGGCUCAGUGCUAAGAUGUUCAACAUCUGCUUUUGUUAAAAAUUACCCAUAUCUGGCACAAAGCAUCUAGGUCAAAGUAGGAAGGAGUUAAUGGACUUUCCCCUGAAGGCAGAAUUUAAGUCAGCCCCAUCUGACAGUGCUGUCUUGCCUCUCCUUGGCAGGGCCCUCCAGCUGUAGUUAAUCCUUGGGAACAGGAUAUAAAGAGGAAGAGCUCACCCUUAUCAAAGGAAAUAAGUGUCCUGGGGCUGCUUGGUCAGGCAUGUUCCUGGAGGAAGCAAACUAGCUAGGACUCAUCAAGUUUUAGAUGCUGACCCUGAGCCAAAUGCUGCCAUUUAACAAGCUGUUGUUUGCGAGCAGCCCUUUCAGAAGUGCUUGCCAAGGUCAGGGAAGAGCUUGCAAAUGAAUGCUGCGUUUCCUUGUAAACUGAAGCAUCACACUGAAAGCUGUCAACGCAGAGAGUCAAGUCCAGAGUUCAGGAUGAAAUCCAGAAGCCCUCACCAAGUCAUCUACUGCUGAACUGUGUAACGUUUUGUCUGCUCAUCUAUGGGUUUUCCUAUGGUCACACUAUACUGUUUCAGUGGGACAUGAUGUGCAGCAGCAACAGACAGUUAUUUUCUAUGCUAGUUAAAGCUUAAACAAAACUACCAGAAGAUAUGCUCAAAGUAUGCAGCGUAAACUCUACCUGUGAGCUUGCCGCCGUGCGCUGUCAGCUCACGGAUUUUUCUUCCGCUGACUCCAGUAGAUGUGGGUUGUAGGGCUGACGGCAGUUUCCGUUGGUAGAAGGAACCAUUCUGUAUCACCCAAGCUUUUGCACGUCCCCCUGAGGCAGCGCACACACAGCAGUUGAUCGGAUCAAGACAGAAUUUUGCAUGUUGUGCUGUCUCUUCAGACGAUGCUUGUCUACUCAGGAUGAUAGAUUUACAUGAUUUAACACGUAAAGCUCUGUGUGGGGGAUAAACACAGGCUGCUUCAAUCUGAGAGCUGUUUGAUUCAUUUGCUUUUAAUCAGUGACUUCUCUGAGAUGAUGGUACUUCAUUGGCAGAAAAUGAUACUCAGUUAGGGUGGUAUCUUUAGUAGAAACACCCACUGUUGUAAUUGCUGUGCAGCACUCCAGAUACCGAGUGGCUCUGCUGGUUCUGCUGCCUCUAAAAUAGCUAUCAGGAUCCUUUUUUUCUUCCUGCGUGCACACAGCAGGAGUAAACUUCCGUGCUCAAAUUCCUCAUCUUGACUCAUAUAACUUUCUCCUCCCUGAGGAUGCAAUUGUUCACACAGGUGU